GGGUUUCUUGCCUCCAGUGGUAUGAGCCAGAUCUCAUCGGAUCCAACAAUGGUGGUCAAGGCAAGUUCCAACAAUCCGAGAUCUAGGGUUUUAAUUUCAUGUCUGAGAUUUCAUGAUUCCACUUGGCUGAGGUAUCUUCUCUGGCGGCGGCAGUGAAUGUGACAAGGGUGUACGGGAGUUACGUGUUUGGAGACUCGAUGAAAAUGGGUGGCACCGGCAUCAACAGCAGGCGGCGGCUAGGGUUCUGACCAUGACCACCUGAUUAUCUACUAACAAAUAUUGGGAAUGUUCCUUUUAUUCAAGUUUUGGAGCUCAUUUUACAUUUGGGUACCGGUCUCGAAGAUUAUUCCAGGAUUUUGUUACGGAUCUUAUCUGGUAUGUUUGUGCAUCAUUCAUUGACCCAUUGUUUGUUGGCCCAGUUUUCGCUGAUACCAAAGCUGGUGAUGAUAUGUGUUGGGUUGAGCGACAGACAUGGAGGACGUAAAAAAGCUAGAAAAUUUCUUGGGGUGGGUAAAACCCUAACAACGUCGACGAAGCUGAACGGAAAAACCCUAAUAAGGUUUUGACUUUGGUGAAAAAGGUAUAAUAUAAUUCUACAGAGGCGAUGAUUAGUAGUGUUUUGGAGUUGUGGUUUCUAAGAAAGAGAAUAGAAAGGUGAGAGGGCGAUCAAUAGACAUAUUUGGUUUCAGAUAGACCAGUAGAGCAGAGCAUUCGAUAAAUGGUAUAGUUGGGUGAAUGGAUUUAGGGGAGUGGGCCCUCAACUGCAGGGUGGAAGUGUCCAUACAUAAGGGUAUUGUAAUCUCGAAACAAAUGUUGGUUAUGUAAGGUUAUCUAAAUUAUACAGCAGGAAUUACAAGAAUGCUAAACGGGCAGCGGUGCUGGGUCGAUUAAGGCACACGUUGCGUUUUUCGGCGAAGGGUGUGAUCAGCAAGUU
rnacentral:lncRNA from 1 species